AACGAACGCUGGCGGCAUGCCUAACACAUGCAAGUCGAACGAGACCUUAGGGUCUAGUGGCGCACGGGUGCGUAACGCGUGGGAAUCUGCCCUGGGGUGCGGAAUAACUCGGAGAAAUCCGUGCUAAUACCGCAUAAUGUCUUCGGACCAAAGAUUUAUCGCCCUGGGAUGAGCCCGCGUAGGAUUAGCUAGUUGGUGGGUAAAGGCCUACCAAGGCGACGAUCCUUAGCUGGUCUGAGAGGAUGAUCAGCCACACUGGGACUGAGACACGGCCCAGACUCCUACGGGAGGCAGCAGUGGGGAAUAUUGGACAAUGGGCGAAAGCCUGAUCCAGCAAUGCCGCGUGAGUGAUGAAGGCCCUAGGGUUGUAAAGCUCUUUUACCCGGGAUGAUAAUGACAGUACCGGGAGAAUAAGCUCCGGCUAACUCCGUGCCAGCAGCCGCGGUAAU
rnacentral:rRNA from 1 species